UGUGAAGAUGAUAUCUUGUUGAAGACAAUUUCUGUUCUUGUUUGAUGCGUCUUGGUGAAGAUGCUUGUUGAGGUGGAGAAACAAGAAGGAGAAGCCAAGGUUAGAAGACCGAAGUAGAGGUGAAGAAUCAAACAAACCAAGUCCGAAAAAAGCGGAGGUUGAUGAUUCAAGAGCUUCGUAAGCUAAGGUUAAAAACCUAAGUGAAGAUUCAAAGAGCCCAAAUAUCCAAAGCUAAAGCCAAAGUGAUGAUUCAAUGAACUAGAGGGCACAAACUGAAGAUGGAAAAGAAGAAGAAGCUCACCUAAAGAAAAAGGGAGCAGCCGAGCAAGAGACGUGACUGUGGUCACGGAAAAGACGUGGCAGAGCUCAUGGAGAAGACUAUAGCAAAGAAAAUCGCACAAAAAUGGGGGAUAAACUAAAUUCCAGAAGAUUCAGAUUAAGAGAGAGAAGGAGAAGAGAAGGAAGUGGUGGUGGUUCGAUUGACCGAAUGGGGCGUGAAGCCUCAGUUUAGUCGAAGAGAAAAGCUUGAAUGAAGUCUCAGAUGAGUUGGUGGUGAAUAAAGAGAUGCUCGUCACUCGUCAGAUAUGAGGGCUGGGAGUUAAUACCGGUUAUGAUGUGGCAGUUGAAGACGGCGGUGAAUCCCUUUAAUAAAGAAUUAAUUAAAUUCGGGGUGAGAAGUCAGAAAAAAACAGAGUAUGGGGUGGUGGAGAAUAUUAUAAAAUUGAUAGUUUGUAUGAUAAUCUUACAGAAUUUGGUAUUUAAUGCAAUUAUGAAAUUUUAUACUUGGAUUUCACAAGAACCAUACUUUUUUCCCUCUACUUUGUUUCCGAGUGUAAUUUUAAACUCACCACUGCAGAACCAUGGUGUAAAACCA
rnacentral:lncRNA from 1 species